GUGCUCAAUUUGGCAGCACAUAUACUAAAAUUGGAACAAUACAGAGAAAAUUGGUAAAGCUUCUGUGAAGGAUGACAUAAAAAUUCAGUGUUCUAUUUUUUA